rnacentral:rRNA from 1 species
UACGUAGGGUGCAAGCGUUAAUCGGAAUUACUGGGCGUAAAGCGUGCGCAGGCGGUGAUGUAAGACAGGUGUGAAAUCCCCGGGCUUAACCUGGGAACUGCAUUUGUGACUGCAUCGCUGGAGUGCGGCAGAGGGGGAUGGAAUUCCGCGUGUAGCAGUGAAAUGCGUAGAUAUGCGGAGGAACACCGAUGGCGAAGGCAAUCCCCUGGGCCUGCACUGACGCUCAUGCACG